ensembl:lncRNA
CGCAGUAGCUGCGGUGUAUCUGCCAUGCCUCACAGAUGGAUGAGUCCUUGCCAGGAGAGACCAGGAUUGGACAUCAGCAGUGUUUGGUCCCUCUGGACACUGGUCUGUGGAAGGAGAGGCCACCAAGACGGUAUUCCGGGGCUAGGCCACCCUGAUGGUAUUCCAGGGCUCCAGGUAGGCCGGUCCCAGUCGGGCCCUAUUGCUGAUCAACUGACCCUCAGGAGUUUAUCAGGAAAGCCUCUAGAGGUAAGAAUUGAAUGAUUCUUAGUGCAGUGUGGGUAGGUAGGAGGAAGCCGGAUGCCGCACAGGUUCCCUUACCUAGAGUCUAUUCAUGACAGCAAGCAGACUCACUGGGUCCAAGUCCUCAGAAGAGCGACUCCCUGGGUGGGGUCCGAAUCCAUUGGGCCCCAGAGGUUUUACUUGGCCAAAGUUUGUCUUUGUCUGUUUAUUGUUGUCUGUCUGCUUGCUCUGUGUGCCUUUUGCAUUUUCACAGGCUAAAAUUAUGGGUUCCUCACAGUCCACAGAAGGAACUCCACUUGAUUGUGUUUUGAAUAACUUUAAAAAAAUUUAUUCCACAGACAGAGAAGAUGAAUAUGGCAUGAAAUUUUCUAAAGGCAAAUUGCAAACUCUGUGUCAAUCAGAAUGGCCAAGUUUUGGAGUCAGUUGGCCCCCGGUGGGAACUUAUUCUGUGCACAUUGCUCGCAAGGUUUGAAAUGUGGUCACAGGAGUCAGGGCCCCAGAGGUCCCAAUCGACCUUUGGCACUUGAUCAGGACAGGACUACAGUCCAUCAGCCCUGUCUUUCUCCUCCCUUUUUCCUUUAAAACGGAGCCCGGGAGAGGAUUGAUUUAUGUCCCUUUUAGAACUAGUGAUCUUUACAAUUGAAAACAUCAAAAUCCCCCCUUCUCUGAAAAACCUCAGGCAUUAAUCUCUUCUUGAGUCUGUUUUUCAUACCCAUCAACCAACCUGGGAUGACUGCCAGCAGCUUUUACAGAUCCUAUUCACCACUGAGGAGUGGGACCGCAUUUAUCAACAGACAGUCAAAGAGGCCCUUGGUCCAAACCCUGGUGUCAUUCCUGGAACUCUGGGGUAUUCAGCCAGGGCUGAAACAGUGGUUCCAUCAUGACGCCCUGAAUGGUGCCCCAAUGAUGAUGACAGUAGGAGGAGGAGGCUGAGGACCUACCGCCAGCACUUAUUAGGGGGACUCCAGGCAGCAGCCAGAAAGCCCACUAAUUUGAGUAAGGCCUUACAGAUUCUUCAGAGUGAGAUCCAGGCUACAAUACAACAGGCUCGAGAAAAAAAAAACAACCUUUGCGACGUUCCAGCCUCAUGCUUUCAAGCCAGGAGACCUGGUCCUGAUAUGCUUGGUUUGCUUGCACCAAGGACUUGACUAAAUACAUUCCCAAAUCAGUCUUGGCUACCCAAUCUGCCACUUUAUUUUGUGUCACCGUGUAUGUUGUUCCACAAGUCUUGUAUUAUAAUGGAAAAAGGGGGCCAUGAACAUCUGGGAUUAACCACUGAACACUAUAGGAGUAAAUGGGCUGCCCCCGUUUUAGUGCCCAUUCUGGUGGGAUUAGGAAUAGCUGGGUAGUAGCUAUUGGAACUUCCUCCCUGACCCUUCAGGACACAAAUUUUAAAGCCCUAAGCCACCAAGUAGCCAGAGAUUUGGGUCACCUGAAAGACUUGAUCUCCAGAUUUAAAAAAACCAGGUUGAUUCCCUAGCUGAGAUGGUCCUGCAAAAUCAAAGGGGACUUGACCUCCUGUUUAUAAAACAAGGAGUGUUAUAUGUAGCCCUAGAAAAAAACCUGUUGCUUCUAUGCUAAUCAGUCUGGUGUCAUUAGAGAUACCUUAGCUAUAGUUAGGGAAAAUUUAAAGACUAAAUAUGCUCAACAAAGGGAUCAACAUUGGUUUCAAAAUCUAUUUGACUUGUCCCCACGGUUAACUACCCUACUUUCUGCUGUAGCAGACCCCUUAGUUAUCUUCUGCUUUUGCUCGUGGGAUCUUACAUUAUAAAUGCUCUGACUAAAUAUGUUAGACAGAGGGUUGAUGCAGUUAAACUGAUGGUGUUGAGACAAAAUUAUGAGAUUUAAAACAUGUUUUAGAAAAAAAAUCUGAAAAAUAAAUACAGAAAUCAAAGAUUUGAUUAGGUUACAAGAACCAGUGGGGAAUGAAGGACCCUAGUUAGCAAGACAGACUCCAUAUUGCUGCUUGACCCACCUGCCUGCCCUUUAGAUGAACUCAGAAGGAGGAAGCUUAAAAACCUCCUCCCCUUAGAAAGUCUCUUUAGAAAUAACAGUUAAUCAACUAUUGUUUUACAAAUGUUCUGCUUCUGUACCUUUUGCUUGCUUUACUAGUUCUAUCCCAUGGGGGGCCUAGAAACUGCUGGCCUCAAAGGUGUAUAAAACGUUUGUCUCCCGCAGUCUGGGCUCAAGUCCGAUGCUCAGCUCGGUCCCGGCCAGUAAUAAACUCCUGUGUGGAUUUAAUAUUGGUCUCUGGUUGGUUCUCUCUCACUGGGUGUAACAGUGCAGGUGGUUGCAUUGUUUAAAGCCAACUCCCAUCUGCUCAUGGGGAGAGAGAAAGGUACUGGUGACCACAAAUCGUCUCUCAUAAUGGGUGCCCGCCCAUCAGAAUCAGGAGCAACCAGUGAAGGCUGCAAGCAGUCCCAGUUAGGGAGGGCACACUCUAUAUUUUAAAUUAAUUGAGCCUGGGUUCAGGUUGUGUGCAACGGUUUUAAGUAGAUGGAUGGACAGCAAUGCAAAGCCAUUGGAUGUAGAAAUUGGGCCAGAAUACAUUGGCCAAUGCACCCCACAUGCAAUUUGCACCAGAGUGAC